UGGGGCUGUGCUCAGGGCUCUAGCAGAAAGGCCCAUAAUGGGCUAAGUGUUCCCACCUGGCAUACAGUUCUGCCCUUGUGGAACAUACUUGGCCAGGCAGAGAGGUCAGAGUUAAGUGAGAGAUCACCUUUUCUCACAGUCCGGGAGGAAAUAGGAAAGGUUGAAGUGUAUUCUUUUAUUUGCUGAACACUCAGGAGUUUAAUGGUGAAAACGAGGCAAGUGGAGUUGUUGUGCAACUGACCACAUCUGUUGGGUUGCAGAACUGCGUUGUUUGAAAACCAGCUCACAGUAUAUAAGCAUUUCUUUAAAGACAAAGUGCCAGCAAAUCAGCAGAUAAUGUGGCUAGAGGUGCCUCUGAAUGAGAACACUGCUACUCCUCCCCUCACAUCUGUUAAAUGCUCCACCUCUUGUUAUGGUCAAGGAGCUUAUAUCAGAGGAGGAUCUGUAGUCAUUAAUGGACUAACAUGGAACUUCUAAAUACAUUUUUUGAACUAUUUCCAGAAUGUGCUCAGUUCAGAAUCCCUGUCUGGCAAGCGGUAAUAGAAAGUAUUCAGCCUGAAAAUUAAUCUCUGGAUUUCCAGGUUUGGUGCUGAAAUCCUGACUCCUAAACUAUGAAGCACUGUACUCUCUGUUUCCACUGACAUCACUUGCCAGCACUGAGUCUGACUUGAUGCUAGCAUACUUCCUUCGCCGUGCUUGGUUUUUAGGUGUGUGACUUGAGAUGGGUGUACAAUUUUUUUUUUUGUUCAGUUUUAAAGAAGUAACUUUGCAACAAUUGGGAUUUUUUUGUUUGUUUAUAUCUCUUUGUUGUGGAGGAGCUGUAAAAUGAAAUGUCAAUGAUCAAAAUUAAAUGCUGUUUGGUAUUUACUUGUAUUUCUUUGUGAUGAGUCUUUCUGGGAAAUUAAAAUCAUGUUCUUCAUUGUUGUUGCUAUGUGUGUGCUGUAAGUUGUGAUCUCUGUACUUUGUCUGCAACUGUGGUAGUCUGAUACUGUAUUUUUUUUUUCUCAGUGCUGCAGAAGUUGCAGGGCCAAGAACUUGACUAUUAUUAGCUCUAGAUUUGCUGAGAUGGGAAUGGCAUCUAGU